rnacentral:rRNA from 1 species
UCGGGAAUUUUGCCCAAUGGACGAAAGUCUGAGGCAGCAACUCCGCGUGAGGGAUGAAGGCCUUCGGGUUGUAAACCUCUUUUCUCAGGGAAGAUUCAAGACGGUACCUGAGGAAUAAGCUCCGGCUAACUCCGUGCCAGCAGCCGCGGUAAUACGGAGGGAGCUAGCGUUGUUCGGAAUUACUGGGCGUAAAGCGCACGUAGGCGGCUUUGUAAGUUAGAGGUGAAAGCCCGGGGCUCAACCCCGGAAUUGCCUUUAAGACUGCAUCGCUUGAAUCCAGGAGAGGUGAGUGGAAUUCCGAGUGUAGAGGUGAAAUUCGUAGAUAUUCGGAAGAACACCAGUGGCGAAGGCGGCUCACUGGACUGGUAUUGACGCUGAGGUGCGAAAGCGUGGGGAGCAAAC